rnacentral:rRNA from 1 species
UACAGAGGUCCCGAGCGUUGUUCGGAUUUCACUGGGCGUAAAGGGUGCGUAGGUGGCUUGGAAAGUUUUGAUGUGAAAGCUCAGGGCUUAACCCUGAAAUGGCAUUGAAUACUGCUGAGCUGGAGGUUUGGAGGGGGACUGGAAUUCUUGGUGUAGCAGUGAAAUGCGUAGAUAUCAGGAGGAACACCGGUGGCGAAGGCGGGUCUCUGGGCCGAUGACUGACGCUGAGGAGCGAAAGCGUGGGGAGCGAACAGG